GCUCCUCGUCAGGAGGAGGGAGAGCAACGGGACUUGCUGGUUGGGCCCUAACCUCCACAACCCCUCCUUCUCGCCUCGCUCUUUCGGCUUUUCCCCUCAGCCCUGUCGUACGACCGGGAGCGCGCCCGCAAUUCACGCUCAGAGAAAGCCGAAGAUGAGAGGUGGCCGGGGCAAGAGAGGCGGGAACAAAGUUGCCGCGCACUGGCGUGCUCGCUCCCGCCAGGGGCCGGCAGGCCGCACCGGAAGUGGCAUGAUGUAGAAACCGCUCGGCUUCCGGCGAGGGUGGGACUCCGUGUGAAGAAGGGUUAAAGAAAGGAGAGGAUUCGUGCGCCGCCCACUGCUGUUGCUUGAGACUCUGCUCGUGGUGGCGCGCCUGUCGUGCUUGUUGCUUGCGUCCAGCGCGCAGUGCCGGUUCCGGCUCUCUGCAGACGCCGCACUGCCUGCCUGUUGAGCGAAAGGUCACAGUGAGAACAAGUGUUUCUGGAGACUGCGAGGGAAAUAAUGCUGUUGGUGGCCUUCUGGAGUAGGCAGUUACCCCCCGUGUACCUUCAGUCAAGCCCUGGGAGUGGAACAGCUGCGAAAGGAGAGGAAACACCCCGCAAAACAGGGUGGAGAUGGCGUUGGUUUAACUUGUCUCACGUACGCCAAAGUUCGAGGCCCCAUCUUUUUUUUUUUUUUUUUUUUUUUUUUUUUUUUUUUUUGAGACUGAGUUUCGCUCUCGUUGCCCAGGCUGGAGUGCAAUGGUGCGAUCUCGGCUCACCGCAACUUCCGCGAGGCCCCUUCUUAUCCUAAAAAACACACUUGGGAAUCACAGCUCAAGCUUCGGUAACACUAUUUACUUUAAAAUAAAAAUUUUUAAAGCUUUAAAUCAAUACAGGAAAUAAGUGGAAUGUUAAAAGGAGCUACUGAAAAUUCCAAAUUCUCAGGAGCCUUGAAAUCAAAACAUCUUGUGCGAAUGAGGACUGCCCUCUUAGUACUUCACCCACUUUCACCUUCAUAUCUAAACCUUUGGGGUUGCCAAACAUAGCCAUAUAGUGACCUCACAUCUCAUUUCUUGCCUUAGAAUUGCCCUUCAGUUACAGACUGAGCACUCGGGAUAAUUAGACUAAAAUGUAAAUGGCUUAUUGGCUUUUAGAAUGGUUGGAAACGCAAGCUAACCCUGUGCAGUGGCACACGCCUGUAGUCCCAGCUACUCCGGAGGCUGAGGCAGGAGGAUCUCUGGAGCUCAAGAGUUCGAGGCUGGAGUGAGCCAUGACCGUGCCACAGCACCCCAGCCUGGCCAAUCAGCAGGGCGAGGCCCUGCCUCUAAUAAAAGAAAAAGCUAAGCCGUCUGUUCAAUGACUAAAUGUAGUAACCCCUUUGAAAAUUCAUUUGUUCAGAUCAUCAGUUGGUUUAGUUCUUAAACACUUGGUAUCUAUCCAUCGUUAAUACCUUAGUGUAAAUUAUUUUAAUCAGUUUGACAUCACAGUAUCACAGACUGGCCUGAUUUAAGCUAAGAUCAGACUUCACUGACCGAGUACAAAGGAUGUUGGUUUGCUGAAGUAUAAAGGAGGAGGCAAAGGAAUAGGUAAUCUUAAAGUCAGAGCAUUUCCCAGGAGGGCAGGCCUGGGUGGGCAACACCAUGGGAUGGGCAUUGGGAAACUGAAUAGAAAAAUAGGGGGCAGGGUUCCUAAAACAAAUUUCUCGUUGACAGUAUUGUUGAGUGAAGGUCCUGUAGCCAGCCUCCUACCAAAGACUGUUUAGCAAGUGGCUUUUUCAGAAACAUGUAGGAUCAACUUGUUCCAUCAUCCUACGUUAAAUAGACUGGAAUAACAGAACAAAGAGAGCAAAUAAGAGGUUUAGCUUGCAGCUCCCCUCGUGUACAACCAGUUCCACUUGAGAAUGUCAUCUUCUAUCAUAUAUUUUCAAAGAAAACUUGAUCCAUAGUAAAUGGAUAAUUCCCAUGUGUAAGUGUAUUAAAUGGAGAAGAAGGGAAAAAAAGUAAAUUGAUAGUUCCCAAUCCAGGGUGCAAACAAAAAACAUGUACUAAAAUAUUUUUACUGUGGUUCUACCACCCACAUGUUUCCUCAAAGAUUCUACCUUUGGUGGGGGAGGUUGAAUGAACAUUUUGAGCUCACAAUACCUGCCCACGUGGUUGGAAACACUAAUAACUAAUAGGAUUCAAACUCCAAAAAAUGGGAAGGACCUUUGAAUUAGAAGCCGUCUGUUUCUAUAAACCUGUCUGCUUGCCUGAAUAUUAAAGAGAUUUGAAAUUCCC
rnacentral:antisense_RNA from 1 species